ensembl:lncRNA
UUUUCACACACAUUGCAGCUGGUUGCGGGAGACGGUUUGAAAGAAACAAAAGCGGCAUUUGUCCUUCUCUCCAAGUUAUCAAAACUUAGCUCCCUGCUCCACACAAGCACAACGUUUAAAGACCUCUUUGAUGGUGAAUUUGGGGAGCACAGAGGCAUCCCUGAGGUGGAAUUCCACACUGCGGCAGGUGAAAGCAGUCCUUCAUUGUGAUCAGCAAAAGCUCUGUGCAGUUCUUGAGAAGGCCGGGUAUAAAGAACUGUCAUUCACACCACAAGAGUGGAAUCUGCUGAAGGAGUUGGUGGACAUCUUGAAACCGUUUGGAGAAGCAACUGAUUUGACACAGGGAGAGAAAGUCAUUACAAUCAGUGCAGUUGUUCCAUCCGUCUUGUCCCUCAAUCACCAUCUUGAGAAGCUGAAGCCUCAAGUUCGUUUCCUGAGCGGCCUGGUCAGAGGUCUGCAGGCAUCCCUGAUAAAAAUAUUUCUUGGGAUCUUCAUUAAUGUGAAAAUAGCCCAGUCUGAAGAAGGGAUCACUGCCCCCUUUUCAAACACAGUCUACCUGAAAGCAGCUGCCUUGGAUCCAGCCUUUUGUCUGCUGUGGAUUGAGCCCCGUCUGCUGUGGAUUGAGCCCCAUGUGCUGGUCAACCGUGACAUCAAGGCAGAGGUGGCACAACGAGUUAACGAAUUGAUUCUGCAAGAUGCUGCAGACACGGAGCAACCUGUGCCUGUGCCGGUGCCUGCUGAAGAAGAACUAGACGACAUGGAAGGAGAAGGGCUGUUUGCUGCAUACCAUAAGAGGCAGAAAAGGGAUGUUGGGACCUCACCAGCAGUACAGCUAAGUCACUACAUUGACAUGGCAGAAGGACAGAAUGCCCUUUUGUUCUGGGCACUGAACAGUAAGACCCUUCACUCUUUCAAGUAGCCAUCCGAGUCUUGGCAGUGCCUGCUUCUAGUGCUCCAGUGGAGCGAGUUUUCAGCCAUGGUGGCAUCAUUCUGCGUCCCCAUCGUGCACAAAUGACUGACAGACUUUUGGCCAAUUUGAUCUUUUGCAAAUGCAAUGCAGUAGAGGGGCCUCCCUCCACCUGUCCACAGCACGCAUGCGCACACACACUCACUCUCUGCUCAUCACCUGUCCACACAGCUCACUCACUCAUUCAUACACACCAGUCUCUAUGGAGUCAUUCCAAUUAUAUUAUCAGGUUGGUCCAGUUUUUCAGAAGUGAUAAUUUUGAGGAGUGAGGAUUUUAUUGAUGACAUGUUUAAAAAAGUUUAGGCUAAAAGGACCCAUGUCUAUUUGAAAGUUAAACUGUUUUGCAAUAUGAGGUCAAUACAAUACAGGACUGAAGCUGCUGUGCAUUGUUCUAGUGCAAUAUGCUGUUGAAAUACAAGCAUUUUUUGUGACA